UACACCAACUGAGAUAUUUUUGAUGAAAUCCAAGAGCUUUCUGAGCCUCCAUAGAGAGCAAUGCAACCGAAACGUUCAAGGCCCAGAAAGGCAGUAAGGACAUUGUUAAAAUAGUCCAUGUGACUUCAGGGGUUCAACCUUAAUUUUGUGAAGCUAUGCAGAUACCUUCUGUGUGCAAAGAGAACAAAGAUAACACCUUUAUUCAACAAUUUCUUCUCUUCUGGGUCAGUCUCCGCCUCCAUUCACGAGAGAACCACGAAGCAUGGGAAGUUCAUCGCUACGAAAUCUCGUUUGAGAAGUCUCAUUCAGCACAGAUCACGAUAUUUGCCAUCAGUUCACGUGUGCCACACGUUGGCUGAAAAGACCUAAAGGAAGCAGUCAGCCCAGCCGUGUUAGUGGAGAGUAUUCGUUCAGAAACAGAAGACAGACAUUUGGAUUUCUUGCAGAUUUCCUUCUCCGUCAUGCACAUGCACUCACCUUUUUAACUCUUUAUCCCACACACAUACUGAAAUGGCAUCUGGAUCAAUAUUAAGACUUUGCAGUGUUCUUUUUUUUCUUGUUUUGUUUUUUUGCAGAUGCAACUUUGUUUUAAUUAUAAGCUUGUAAUGAAUACAUUUUGACCUUCCAACAACCCAUAUACAGUAUAUAUAUAUAUAUAUAUAUAUGUAUUGAACCAAUAAUAAAAAUAAAAGGGGAAAAAUAGUCGUAUUGGUAAAGCUUUGUUUUAUUUUUCGAGCUUCAUAAACUGUACUUGGUGUCUUCCUAAUGCUUAUAUCAAAUAAAAAAGAAAGA